UACGUAGGUGGCAAGCGUUGUCCGGAAUUGAUUGGGCGUAAAGCGCGCACAGGCGGCCUUCUUAAGUCUGAUGUGAAAGCCCCCGGCUCAACCGGGGGAGGGCCAUUGGAAAUCUGGGAGGCUUGAGUAUAGGAAGAGAAGAGUGGAAUUCCACGUGUAGCGGUGAAAUGCGUAGAGAUGUGGAGGAACACCAGUGGCGAAGGCGACUCUUUGGCCUAUAACUGACGCUGAGGCGCGAAAGCGUGGGGAGCAAACAGGA
rnacentral:rRNA from 1 species